AAUAAAAGCAGCUAAGCUAAACGUCAACAGCAAAGCAAACGUCAGUUGUGCCAGACUGCUAACUCGCUAACGUCAGCUAGCGGACAAGUUAGCCCCGCCGGCUAACAAGAUUUAAGCGACAGGAGUCACAUCACGGUCCCGGAGAAGAGCUCAAUCAAACAGCUGUGAUUGUGCGUGGGACACGGUGCUGUGGGUGUGGAGGUUUCCCCCUGACACGUCUACUUCCACCCAGCGAUUCACACGAAGAUGAUCACUCGGACUGCAGACAGAGGAGUUAGUAUCUGAGCUCUGCAGAUGUCAGAGGCUGAGGGAACAGGACGGUCACGUGACUCUCGCGGACUCGUUGGCUUGACAACCGCUGUGAUCCUCGGUCCGCUGCUAAAGAAGACACAAUGCCAGAAGUCAAGUCAAUAUUCAGAGAAGUUCUGCCUAAACAAGGGCAGCUUUCCAUGGAAGACGUCCCUACCAUGGUUCUCUGUAAGCCAAAGCUGCUCCCACUCAAAUCCGUCACCCUGGAGAAACUGGAGAAGAUGCAGAUGGAGGCUCAAGAGGCCGUCAAACAGCAGGAACUGGCGAUGAAGGAGCAGCCACAGUAGCACUCUAUGGAGGACGUGCACAAGCAUGAAGCAGCCAGAUUGGUAGAACAUUCCUUUAGAUGGAGGACACAGUGUUUUCAAGCACUAAUAGAUUAAGUAUUUUUAUGGACAGUGAGAUGCAACAUGAAGAGGUGGAUGUUUGGAGCUGAGAGGUUCAGGGGAAGUGGUGAGAGUAGUCAACCUAAGCUGCAUCACUACACACCUCUUCUUAGUGUUCAUGAAUCAUCGUCAAAUGAUUUACUGCAUGUAAUCAACAAUCAUUGAGUGCCAGUUAUUCCAACAUGGGUAGAUACAUUUGUACUUCAACAGAAUUUUCAACUGUAUUGUUGUACCUGCAAUUUGACCGUAAUUCAUACAACAAAAUGUUACCCACCUCCUGAUUGAAUGUAGCGAAUUAAUGUACUAAUUAAUGUGCUAGAGAGAAGAGUUUAACAUUUUUCCAACAUGUGGUUGGUUGUGUGUGUUAAUAUUGUGACAUUCACAAAAGCAGUCUUGGAUUAUUUAAUAGUGGUUUAAUGAACAAACAAGAAGCAAUACGCAGUACAUUUCACAAACCAGUAUUGCUAAUAUAUAAAAAUAAACACUCUGAACACCAUUUUGUGAAGUCA